rnacentral:rRNA from 1 species
UACGUAGGGUGCGAGCGUUACUCGGAAUUACUGGGCGUAAAGCGUGCGCAGGCGGUUCGUUAAGUUCGUCGUGAAAGCCCCGGGCUCAACCUGGGAAUGGCGAUGGAAACUGGCGGGCUGGAGUGUGGCAGAGGGGGGUGGAAUUCCACGUGUAGCAGUGAAAUGCGUAGAGAUGUGGAGGAACACCGAUGGCGAAGGCAGCCCCCUGGGCCAACACUGACGCUCAGGCACGAAAGCGUGGGGAGCAAACAGG